rnacentral:rRNA from 1 species
AGCACUGGCUAACUACGUGCCAGCAGCCGCGGUAAUACGUAGGGUGCGAGCGUCGUCCGGAAUUAUUGGGGCGUAAAGAGCUCGUGGGCGGUUUGUCGCGUCGUUCGUGAAAACUCCACGCUUAAACGUGGAGCGUGCGGGCGAUACGGGCAGACUUGAGUUCGGUAGGGGAGACUGGAAUUCCUGGUGUAGCGGUGAAAUGCGCAGAUAUCAGGAGGAACACCGGUGGCGAAGGGCGGGUCUCUGGGCCGAUACUGACGCUGAGGAGCGAUAGCGUGGGGAGCGAACAGGAUUAGAUACCCUGGUAGUCCACGCUGUAAACGUUGGGCGCUAGGUGUGGGCGACAUCCACGUUGUCCGUGCCGUAGCUAACGCAUUAAGCGCCCCGCCUGGGGAGUACGGCCGCAAGGCUAAAACUCAAAGGAAUUGACGGGGGCCCGCACAAGCGGCGGAGCAUGUGGAUUAAUUCGAUGCAACGCG